rnacentral:rRNA from 1 species
UACGGAGGGUGCGAGCGUUAAUCGGAAUUACUGGGCGUAAAGCGUGCGUAGACGGCUAUCUAAGUCGGGUGUGAAAGCCCCGGGCUCAACCUGGGAAUUGCAUUCGAGACUGAAUAGCUAGGGUACGGUAGAGGGAAGUGGAAUUUCCGGUGUAGCGGUGAAAUGCGUAGAUAUCGGAAGGAACAUCAGUGGCGAAAGCGACUUCCUGGACCAGUACCGACGUUCAGGCACGAAAGCGUGGGGAGCAAACAGGA